CCUCACUUGUGGGGGGAUUAGUGGCGAACGGGUGAGUAACACGUGAGUAACCUGCCCUUAACUCUGGGAUAAGCCUGGGAAACUGGGUCUAAUACCGGAUAUGACUCCUCAUCGCAUGGUGGGGGGUGGAAAGCUUUUUUGUGGUUUUGGAUGGACUCGCGGCCUAUCAGCUUGUUGGUGAGGUAAUGGCUCACCAAGGCGACGACGGGUAGCCGGCCUGAGAGGGUGACCGGCCACACUGGGACUGAGACACGGCCCAGACUCCUACGGGAGGCAGCAGUGGGGAAUAUUGCACAAUGGGCGCAAGCCUGAUGCAGCGACGCCGCGUGAGGGAUGACGGCCUUCGGGUUGUAAACCUCUUUCAGUAGGGAAGAAGCGAAAGUGACGGUACCUGCAGAAGAAGCGCCGGCUAACUACGUGCCAGCAGCCGCGGUAAUACGUAGGGCGCAAGCGUUAUCCGGAAUUAUUGGGCGUAAAGAGCUCGUAGGCGGUUUGUCGCGUCUGCCGUGAAAGUCCGGGGCUCAACUCCGGAUCUGCGGUGGGUACGGGCAGACUAGAGUGAUGUAGGGGAGACUGGAAUUCCUGGUGUAGCGGUGAAAUGCGCAGAUAUCAGGAGGAACACCGAUGGCGAAGGCAGGUCUCUGGGCAUUAACUGACGCUGAGGAGCGAAAGCAUGGGGAGCGAACAGGAUUAGAUACCCUGGUAGUCCAUGCCGUAAACGUUGGGCACUAGGUGUGGGGGACAUUCCACGUUUUCCGCGCCGUAGCUAACGCAUUAAGUGCCCCGCCUGGGGAGUACGGCCGCAAGGCUAAAACUCA
rnacentral:rRNA from 1 species